AUUGAACGCUGGCGGCAGGCCUAACACAUGCAAGUCGAACGGUAACAGGAAGAAGCUUGCUUCUUUGCUGACGAGUGGCGGACGGGUGAGUAAUGUCUGGGAAACUGCCUGAUGGAGGGGGAUAACUACUGGAAACGGUAGCUAAUACCGCAUAACGUCGCAAGACCAAAGAGGGGGACCUUCGGGCCUCUUGCCAGCGGAUGUGCCCAGAUGGGAUUAGCUAGUAGGUGGGGUAACGGCUCACCUAGGCGACGAUCCCUAGCUGGUCUGAGAGGAUGACCAGCCACACUGGAACUGAGACACGGUCCAGACUCCUACGGGAGGCAGCAGUGGGGAAUAUUGCACAAUGGGCGCAAGCCUGAUGCAGCCAUGCCGCGUGUAUGAAGAAGGCCUUCGGGUUGUAAAGUACUUUCAGCGGGGAGGAAGGGAGUAAAGUUAAUACCUUUACUCAUUGACGUUACCCGCAGAAGAAGCACCGGCUAACUCCGUG
rnacentral:rRNA from 1 species